CGAAACUUUUGGAUUAUAUAUCAUCUAGUUAGGAACAAAUUUUUUCCAAGGUUUUGUUAAAAAAAGAUGGAGAGAUAAGAAUAAAUAUUAUAGUCGGCAAAAGUUAUAUCUGGUUAGAAGAUUAAUAAUUUCUUUUUAAGAUGUGGGGUUCAAGUUUCACAUUUUAUAUAUAGGUAAGAUUAUAUAAUUAUUGUUUUAGAUGAGAAGUGUCUAUUAACUAAUAAGUAUUAUAACUGUAAUACGUUUUAUUUUAUACCUUAGUUAGAGUUUUCUAAAUCAACAUAUAAAUAUAUUGUUAGAAUAAGUAAAAUAAAUAAAUUCAUAAGAACUCAAUGUUUUUACAACUGUUUAUCAAAAACAUUUCCUUUAGUAAAUAUUUAAAGGUAUUACCUGCUCAUGUUUAAAUAUAAAUUGCUGCGGUAUCUUAACUGCACUAAGGUAGCAUAAUUAAUUGUCUUUUAAAUGGUGACUUGUUUGAAUGGUUAUAUGAGAAAAGAAUUUUCUUUGAAUUAAUAUGAAAUUAUAUUCUUUGGUCAAAAUACCAAGAUAUAAAAGAAAGACGAGAAGACCCUGUUGAGUUUUACAAUACAUUUAUUGUUUAAUGGGAAAUUUGAUUUCAUUUUGAAAUCUAUUAGAUCCUAAAUUUUUUAUUUGGAAAUAGGAUAAAGUUACCACAGGGAUAACAGGAUAAUAUUGACUAAGAGUUCUAAUCGAAGUCUGUGAUUAUUACCUCGAUGUUGAAUCGAAAUAUCUAUUUAAUGCAGCAAUUAAAUAAGAGGGUCUGUUCGACCUUUGAAAUUUCACG
rnacentral:rRNA from 1 species